UCUUUUUCUUGAUUUCUUUGCAGAGCCUGGCUUUAGAGUAACACUUUGCCAUUCACUAGCUGUGUGACCUUGGGCAAAUUCUUCAACCUCUCUGAGUCUUGGUGUUUCUUCUGUAAAAUAAGGGUUGUAAAAUAGUGGACCGUUUGCCUGGUUCUUGUGAAAACCAAGAGAUUAUAUGCCAGGUGCUGAGUACUGUGCUAGGGACAUGUUGGGUGCUUGAUAAGGGAUGGGGGUUAUUCUGAGUGUCAGCGGUGGGACUGUUUUAUCCUGCCAUCUCCCCUUUCACCCACAGGAAUGAGCAGCCCAGUGGGUAAAGGUUGGCCAGAACUAUAGUUGACUCAACUACAGUUGAGUGAAUGAUCUUUGCUUGCUUUUCUUCCUCCCACACUUUGGUUGGGGAAACUGAGGCCACCCUGAAGUUCCCACCUACACCUCAUGACUUUCUGAGAUCCCUGGAGGGUGGCUUAGGAAAUGUCUUUGGAGAUUUGGGAACACACUGGAUACAUCAGUUGGUGAGCCAGGGAAAUUAGCAGGAACGAGCUCAUUUCGAUAGCAAUGAGCUGAGUCUCCCUCCAGCUGCCAGACAUUUACGAGGCUGGCUGGGUGCCGGCGGCCGGAGGCCUCCAAUGGCCCUCAUCCCUCUGCCUUCCGGCUGGAAAUAAUUCGUGUUUAAAAAAUAACAAUAAUAAAAAAAAAAUCUCCAUCUU
rnacentral:lncRNA from 10 species